CAUCAGCUGUGAGAACUAGCAAAGUGAUUCAUGAAUAGUAGCAAAUCAUUUACUGAGAAUCCUAAAUGAAAACACAAGGGAUAGGAGGAGCUACCUUUGAGUAACUCAGUUCACCAUUUCAAAGGAAUCACUCCAGAUACAACAGCUUUGAUGUUUUGAGAGGUUGGUGUGAGUCACUAUUGGUGAGAGUGCAGGAAGGGGUGUAUUUUGAAGAAGGGAAUAUAAA
rnacentral:lncRNA from 1 species